rnacentral:rRNA from 1 species
UACGUAGGGUGCGAGCGUUAAUCGGAAUUACUGGGCGUAAAGCGUGCGCAGGCGGUUCGUUGUGUCGGUGGUGAAAGCCCCCGGCUCAACUGGGGAGGGUCACGCGAUACUGAUCGACUCGAAGGCAGGAGAGGGUAGUGGAAUUCCCGGUGUAGUGGUGAAAUGCGCAGAUAUCGGGAGGAACACCGGUGGCGAAGGCGGUUCUCUGGGCCUGUACUGACGCUGAGGCGCGAAAGCUAGGGGAGCAAACGGG